rnacentral:lncRNA from 1 species
UGGGAUAUUAGACUCAUUAUCACACACCUUAAUGAGAGGCUAUGAUCUAGUUAUCCCCAUAACUAGCUUAUUUUAUGAAUCUAAUAAUUUAAAAGAUUUGAUUAAUAUAUCUUAGUAGACAUCAGUCGACCUACAAGUCAUAAUCCUCCCACUGACUUCACCAAGUCAUGAGAAGGAUUAGUAACUAGUGGGUCCAACCGGUAAGUCAUAGAUCCUCCCACUGACUUUAGCAAAUCAUGAGAAAGAUUAGAGACAAGUCAGUCCAGGGUACC